CUUUUCUUGUCUUUUGAUUUGAAGUACGGCCUGCCCACUGAUGUUGUUGAAGGGCCGCGGUAUUUUGACCGUGCAAAGGUAGCAUAAUCAUUAGUUCUUUAAUUGUGAGCUGGUAUGAAUGGUUUGACGAGGUGUCAUCUGUCUUUAAUUUGGAUUUAUUGAAUUUGAUAUUUGGGUAAAAAUGCCUAGAUUUUUUUAUGGGACGAGAAGACCCUAUAGAGUUUUAUAUAAUGUGUUCUUUUUAGUUUGUUGCGCUUUUUGAAUUGGUUUAUAUUUUGUUGGGGUGAUGGGAAGAUAAGUUUAACUCUUCUUUUUUGGUUUCACUUAUUUGUGUUUUUGUGAUCCUUUAUUAUUGAUUGAAAGAUCGAACUACCUUA
rnacentral:rRNA from 1 species